CAAGUCGAACGGUAACAGGGGUAGCAAUACCCGCUGACGAGUGGCGCACGGGUGCGUAACACGUAUGCAACCUACCUAUAACCGGGGAAUAGCCUUCCGAAAGGAAGAUUAACACCGCAUAACAUCAUUCUACGGCAUCGCAGAAUGAUCAAACCUCCGGGGGUUAUAGAUGGGCAUGCGUAACAUUAGCUAGUUGGUGAGGUAACGGCUCACCAAGGCUACGAUGUUUAGGGGGUCUGAGAGGAUGAUCCCCCACACUGGUACUGAGACACGGACCAGACUCCUACGGGAGGCAGCAGUAAGGAAUAUUGGACAAUGGGGGCAACCCUGAUCCAGCCAUGCCGCGUGAAGGAUGAAGGCGCUCUGCGUUGUAAACUUCUUUUGUACGGGAAUAAACCCUUCUACGUGUAGAAGGUUGAAUGUACUGUAAGAAUAAGGAUCGGCUAACUUCGUGCCAGCAGCCGCGGUAAUACGAAGGAUCCAAGCGUUAUCCGGAUUUAUUGGGUUUAAAGGGUGCGUAGGCGGGCUAUUAAGUCAGUGGUGAAAGCCCCAAGCUUAACUUGGGAAUUGCCAUUGAUACUGAUGGUCUUGAGUACACUUGAAGUGGGCGGAAUGUGUCAUGUAGCGGUGAAAUGCUUAGAUAUGACACAGAACACCGAUUGCGAAGGCAGCUCACUAAAUUGUAACUGACGCUGAGGCACGAAAGCGUGGGGAUCAAACAGGAUUAGAUACCCUGGUAGUCCACGCCCUAAACGAUGAUUACUCGAUGUGUGCAAUACACCGUACGCGUCUGAGCGAAAGCAUUAAGUAA
rnacentral:rRNA from 1 species